GAGUCCCGUGUUUCUUCGGUCUUCACCCCUUCUUCCCUUCCCCUUUUCCAUGCAAAAUUAUUUAAACCCCUUCCUCACUCAUCUAUUUAGACAUGCUAACAAAAUCAAGAAUCCAAUCAAUUGAUACGAAAUAAACUGAACCCAGAAGACGGAAACAUCCCAAAAACAAUUCUUUGUUUAGCUUUUAACAAAGAGCUAAAUCUUUUAAGUAUCAAAAUUGGAGACUAAUGGUUGUGGUGGGUUCAUCGUCGUCAACCUCAUCAAGUGCGUCGAGGCAGGGCUUGCCGUCGUUGUCAAGAGUUGCAGCGACGGCGUCGAAAACGAGGAGCGGUGGUGAAUUAGAUAAUAUGUCAAAAGAAGACCAAAUUCAACAUAGUGCCAAGGCAAUUUCGGAUUUUGAUUUGAGUUUCAAAGAGAGGGCGGUCUCUGCUGCUGGAGCUGCCUUCCUCUCCGCUAUCAUUGUUAAUCCUCUAGAUGUUGUCAAGACUAGGUUGCAAGCUCAGGCUGCUGGUGUACCGUACCAUGAUAACCUUUGGAAUCCAUCACGCUUUGAAACUCAUGGUAUAUAAAGCACAAUCCAUCAUCUACUGAUGCAGUUUUUCAUGCUGUACCAACUUGCUCUUCAGAAGGUUCACGGUAUAAAGGAACAUUAGAUGUCCUCUACAGAGUUGUACGUCAGGAAGGAUUCACUAGGUUGUGGAGAGGCACAAACGCAAGUUUAGCAUUAGCAGUCCCUUCUGUUGGAAUAUAUAUGCCCCUUUAUGACAUUUUCCGUAACUUUAUGGAAGAACAAGCUGCAGAGAAAGCUCCAAUUGUGAUGCCAUAUGUCCCGUUAGUUGCAGGAUCCUUGGCGCGGACAGUAGCUUGCAUCACUUGUUACCCUGUUGAUCUAGCUAGAACGCGAAUGCAGAAAUCUUCUCUGGUCGUAGGCAUUUAGAGACCAUCAGCCUGGUUCGAAGCCACCAGGAGUAUUGAAGACAUUAGUUGGGGUCAUUUCUCCAGUCAAGAGCACAAACAACCAUCAGACUUUUCAAACUUACCGUAUCUUGUGGACUGGACUUGGAGCACAGCUUGUUCGUGAUGUUCCUUUCUCUGCAAUUUGCUGGUCAACACUUGAGCCAGCUAGAAGAAGAAUUUUGGGCCUGAUGGGUGACAAGACAAGUGUAGGUGGAGUCCUUGGGGCAAACUUCUGUGCUGGGUUUACUGCAGGAAGUCUUGCAGCUGCUUUUACAUGUCCUUUAGAUGUUGCAAGGACCUGGCGGCAGAUAGAGAAAGAUCCUGUACGAGCAUUGAGGAUGACCACAAGACAAACAUUGCUUGAGAUAUGGAGGGAUGGAGGGAUAAAGGGACUUUUUACAGGAGUUGGUCCUCGAGUGGCCCGGGCAGGCCCUUCAGUGGGGAUUGUUGUUUCAUUUUAUGAAGUUGUCAAAUACGCUUUGGAGCAGAGACAUUUGACACAGUGAAGGAGAAGUUUCAGCAUCUUACUCGAUUUCUGACUCUUACCAUAUCUUUUGAAGAUCCUUUUCAUCUAAUGGGUUGGUGAACAAGAUGGCGGCAUUGGCUUAAUUGGCAAGGAUCCAGGGGUGUCCGGGAAGGUGCAUCUUUGAUGGAAAACAAUAAAACUGCAUGGUGAUUUUCCGCUCUGUUUUGGCAUGGGAAGACUGUUGCUCCUAAUUGUUUGAGGGACGUAGUGGUUGUACUGCAACACCGGAAUUUAGCAAACUGCACUUACAUCUCUAGCUUUGAGAUGAUUUGAACCCAGCGACAUGCUGGGAAUAAAUGAUCAUUUUCUGGUAUACUAUUUGACGAUUGGCCAGGCUGAACACUUUCACGGUUCACAUAGGAAAAAAAAAAAACACUAGAGAGCGAAAGGAAUCUCAGGGUUUUCAAUCGACUGUACACGGUCUUCAACGGGAAUUCUUUGGGGACGCCGAACAGUAGUUUGCUGAACAUGUUCGUGCCAGAAGAAAGCGAUCGAGUAUCUAUUCUUGUAGACUUUUACAGCAAAAGACAAACAGGAUGGGGACUGUUUAUGGUUCCUACAGCUCGUGAGAAAAGUUCUGCAAUGUUUUCAUGUCUUUUUGCAUCAAAAUUUAGGUGGAGACCGGGGAGAUAGGUGGUUGGUGAUCAUCCAUAGAGCGGGAAACCAUCUCCCAGGAAUUCUUGCAUGAUCACUGCCUCUAGUCCAAUAGGUGUCACAUUAAAAUUGAUGAGAUUGCUAUCCUACCUCCUGAGGGUUCAUUUUUUCAUAUGUAUACAGAAAUGCAAUGCUCUGGUCCCAGAAUAAAGCCCCCAUCUUGACAAA